rnacentral:rRNA from 1 species
AGCGGCAGCUACACAUGCAGUCGAGCGCUCUCUUCGGAGGGAGCGGCGGACGGGUUAGUAACGCGUGGGAAUAUACCCUUUGGUACGGAAUAGCCUCUGGAAACGGAGAGUAAUACCGUAUGAGCCCUUCGGGGGAAAGAUUUAUCGCCAAAGGAUUAGCCCGCGUUAGAUUAGGUAGUUGGUGGGGUAAUGGCCUACCAAGCCUACGAUCUAUAGCUGGUUUUAGAGGAUGAUCAGCAACACUGGGACUGAGACACGGCCCAGACUCCUACGGGAGGCAGCAGUGGGGAAUCUUGGACAAUGGGGGCAACCCUGAUCCAGCCAUGCCGCGUGAGUGAUGAAGGCCUUAGGGUCGUAAAGCUCUUUCGCCUGUGAAGAUAAUGACGGUAGCAGGUAAAGAAACCCCGGCUAACUCCGUGCCAGCAGCCGCGGUAAUACGGAGGGGGUUAGCGUUGUUCGGAAUUACUGGGCGUAAAGCGCACGUAGGCGGACUGGAAAGUUGGGGGUGAAAUCCCAGGGCUCAACCCUGGAACUGCCUCCAAAACUAUCAGUCUAGAGUUCGAGAGAGGUGAGUGGAAUUCCGAGUGUAGAGGUGAAAUUCGUAGAUAUUCGGAGGAACACCAGUGGCGAAAGCGGCUCACUGGCUCGAUACUGACGCUGAGGUGCGAAAGUGUGGGGAGCAAACAGGAUUAGAUACCCUGGUAGUCCACACCGUAACGAUGAAUGCCAGUCGUCGGGUAGCAUGCUAUUCGUGACACACCUAACGGAUAGCAUUCCGCUGGGGAGUACGUCGCAGAUAAACUCAAAGAUGGACGGCCCGCACAGCGUGAGCAUGUGUUUAUCGAAGCACCGCGCAGAACUUACCAACCUUG